rnacentral:rRNA from 1 species
UGGGGAAUAUUGGACAAUGGGCGCAAGCCUGAUCCAGCCAUGCCGCGUGAGUGAUGAAGGCCCUAGGGUUGUAAAGCUCUUUCACCGGUGAAGAUAAUGACGGUAACCGGAGAAGAAGCCCCGGCUAACUUCGUGCCAGCAGCCGCGGUAAUACGAAGGGGGCUAGCGUUGUUCGGAUUUACUGGGCGUAAAGCGCACGUAGGCGGACUUUUAAGUCAGGGGUGAAAUCCCGGGGGCUCAACCCCGGAACUGCCUUUGAUACUGGAAGUCUUGAGUAUGGUAGAGGUGAGUGGAAUUCCGAGUGUAGAGGUGAAAUUCGUAGAUAUUCGGAGGAACACCAGUGGCGAAGGCGGCUCACUGGGCCAUUACUGACGCUGAGGUGCGAAAGCGUGGGGAGCAAACAGGUUAGAUACCCUGGUAGUCCACGCCGUAAACGAUGAAUGUUAGCCGUUGGGGAGUUUUAACUCUUCGGUGGCGCAGCUAACGCA